rnacentral:rRNA from 1 species
UACGAAGGGUGCAAGCGUUACUCGGAAUUACUGGGCGUAAAGCGUGCGUAGGUGGUUUGUUAAGUCUGCUGUGAAAGCCCCGGGCUCAACCUGGGAAUGGCAGUGGAUACUGGCAAGCUAGAGUGCGGUAGAGGGGUGUGGAAUUCCCGGUGUAGCGGUGAAAUGCGUAGAGAUCGGGAGGAACACCGGUGGCGAAGGCGGUCUGCUGGGCAGUUGCUGACACUGAGGCGCGACAGCGUGGGGAGCAAACAGG